CAGUAGCCACGGUAAUACAGAGGGUGCGAGCGUUAAUCGGAUUUACUGGGCGUAAAGCGUGCGUAGGCGGCUUUUUAAGUCGGAUGUGAAAUCCCUGAGCUUAACUUAGGAAUUGCAUUCGAUACUGGGAAGCUAGAGUAUGGGAGAGGAUGGUAGAAUUCCAGGUGUAGCGGUGAAAUGCGUAGAGAUCUGGAGUAAUACCGAUGGCGAAGGCAGCCAUCUGGCCUAAUACUGACGCUGAGGUACGAAAGCAUGGGGAGCAAACAGGAUUAGAUACCCCUGUAGUCCCUGUCUCUUAUAC
rnacentral:rRNA from 1 species